CUGAAAUAAGGUAUUAAUGAUGAAAAGGCUGGGGAGCAAGGCAUUACUGCAGAGGGAGAGGCAGAUGCUUAGGACCUUCCCUAACAAGGACAUUUAUGUUACGAAUGAUAGGUUAUGUUAUGUAUAUUUUGGGAUAGACUCUGAGAGUCCCUUAUGGAUGAAUGUUCAAAUAGAAUGUCCAUUAAGUGUUUCCUUUUAUUAAAUGAAAAAUUUAGAAUGCACGAGUGUCAUGUCCAUGUCGAUCGCAUGUUAUUAGAAAAAGAAAGAAAAGGCAUGUAAGUCAGGAUUUCGUCCUUCCUGGGACGGGGUCGUGACAUGAA